GACAGAGGGUGCAACCGUUGUUCGGAAUUACUGGGCGUACAGCGCGUGUAGGCCGCUCGGCAAGUCGGGUGUGAAAGCCCUGGGCUUAACCUAGGAAGUGCACUCGAAACUUCCGAGCUUGAGUUCUGGAGAGGAAGGCGGAAUUCUCGGUGUAGAGGUGAAAUUCGUAGAUAUCGAGAGGAACACCGGUGGCGAAGGCGGCCGUCUGGACAGUGACUGACGCUGAGACGCGAAAGCGUGGGGAGCAAACAGG
rnacentral:rRNA from 1 species